AUGUUAGUGCAGAGAAUAUUGCUGCACGAUUCAUUAUUCAUUACGUGACGCUGAAACUGAGUUAGUAGGACAAUCGAUUUCUCAUCAAGGAUUUGCAUACAUGGUUUCAUCCAUUUACCAUUAAAAAAAUGAAAGAAUGUUGUAAUACCAGUUCGAUCCAGUUCCAUUAGACUGACGUUUUGUUUAAUAUUGCAUGGUGAAAUAUCGCUCGUGAUAGAAUUAAUCGAGCGCUUCUC
rnacentral:lncRNA from 1 species